AAUGGGUCAGCGACUUAUAUUCUGUAGCAAGGUUAACCGAAUAGGGGAGCCGAAGGGAAACCGAGUCUUAACUGGGCGUUAAGUUGCAGGGUAUAGACCCGAAACCCGGUGAUCUAGCCAUGGGCAGGUUGAAGGUUGGGUAACACUAACUGGAGGACCGAACCGACUAAUGUUGAAAAAUUAGCGGAUGACUUGUGGCUGGGGGUGAAAGGCCAAUCAAACCGGGAGAUAGCUGGUUCUCCCCGAAAGCUAUUUAGGUAGCGCCUCGUGAAUUCAUCUCCGGGGGUAGAGCACUGUUUCGGCAAGGGGGUCAUCCCGACUUACCAACCCGAUGCAAACUGCGAAUACCGGAGAAUGUUAUCACGGGAGACACACGGCGGGUGCUAACGUCCGUCGUGAAGAGGGAAACAACCCAGACCGCCAGCUAAGGUCCCAAAGUCAUGGUUAAGUGGGAAACGAUGUGGGAAGGCCCAGACAGCCAGGAUGUUGGCUUAGAAGCAGCCAUCAUUUAAAGAAAGCGUAAUAGCUCACUGGUCGAGUCGGCCUGCGCGGAAGAUGUAACGGGGCUAAACCAUGCACCGAAGCUGCGGCAGCGACACUAUGUGUUGUUGGGUAGGGGAGCGUUCUGUAAGCCUGCGAAGGUGGCCUGUGAGGGUUGCUGGAGGUAUCAGAAGUGCGAAUGCUGACAUAAGUAACGAUAAAGCGGGUGAAAAGCCCGCUCGCCGGAAG
rnacentral:rRNA from 1 species